rnacentral:rRNA from 1 species
UGGCGAACGGGUGAGUAACGCGUGAGGAACCUGCCUCAAAGAGGGGGGCAACAGUUGGAAACGACUGCUAAUACCGCAUAAGCCCACGGGUCGGCAUCGACCUGAGGGAAAAGGAGCAAUCCGCUUUGAGAUGGCCUCGCGUCCGAUUAGCUAGUUGGUGAGGUAACGGCCCACCAAGGCGACGAUCGGUAGCCGGACUGAGAGGUUGAACGGCCACAUUGGGACUGAGACACGGCCCAG